AACUAUUCUGAUUGCAACCUUCACAGAGAUGAUCGGGAAUCGAUUCAAAUUUUGGCACCACGAUAUUCAGUGAGAGGCUCAUGCAGGUACGAUUGUUUGUUGAAGCUGGUUGGCUGUAGGAUUUAGCAUAUUAAGACUGAUAAUCUACAAUCAGCAAAUUGCUCAGCUCUCUGCUCCAUGGAUUUAGCUUCGGUGAAGUGCUGUUUCAAAGUUGAAUUAUGUGUCUCAAUCCGUCCAGACUCGAGGUUUAUUCGCUGAACAGUUUCGCGCUAGUGAAGCACCACCAUUGCACUUUCAAAUCAUCUUUUGGAGGGUCAUAGGAGGGCAAAAUAGGGAGAUCAACUCAUUUGUGAAGGGCGUGAGAAGCUAAGGCCUUCCAGCUUCAGUAGCCGUGGAUAUUGAGCUCUGAGCAUUGAAUGAAACAACCUUAGUCACACCAGAACCCAAAAUGGCUCUUAAGAGUUACUUUGUAAAUUCACGACAUGAGAUUUUUAUAUUUGAAUUCACCACUUACAAAUUCUCAGCGAAAAACUGAUUCAAACAAGGUCAUUUUGAAUAUGAUCUCCCACAUUGGCAGGUCCAUGGCCGAUGCAACAAUUACUACAAUGAAUUACAUUCUGCUGCGAAUCAGGACGAGGAGUUUGACAAUAUUUCUGAGGAUGAUGAAGGACAUCACUGAUCUCGCAUUGUGAGCGAUGGAGAAGAUACCAAUGAAGCUUUAAUUAUUUCUAAAAGUUGUAAAAUACAUGGUUGUGUUAUGCAAACGGUGCUUUAUUCAUUAAGACAAGUGAAUUUAUACAUAUACAGUGAUAACACUGUGGACCCACACAGGUCUGGAUUGGUUUCUGAGAUUUCAUCUAGUAGUAGGGUUUCAUCUUAUUCUAACACCCUCCUUGAAACCCUAGCAUAUUAGCAAAUUUUAUUUCGCCUUCUGAAGUACAUUUAAACUGUGCAGAAUGGUAUCCACGGAGAUUUUGGAGCGGCUACAAGAUGUAGUGGAUAUGUUGUCAACAAUGAGUGUUGGGAGUUUGUCUUUUAUUGAGUUUUACUGUAGCUUUGUUGUUGUGCAUUGUAUUUGACGAAGUGCAGUUGCACACAGGUUGAAGUCUUGAUUUUGAUUGCUUGGUAGUUGGCAGUCGUGCUUCACCGACUGUGCAAUGUCAUCUUGACUUCAUACUUCUGAUGUCUUCAACAGACUCCAAAACCAAUAAUUCAGGAAGUGCUCCAGAUUGGUGACUCCACGGUUGAGUCGGUAAUGAAUCUACAAUGCUGUUUUGAUUCUAGAAUAUUGGCGUCAACUUGGAUGUUGAAAUUCUAUGUUGUGCGAGUUGGCCAAACUUGGAGAGUCUAUACUAAUUGGGAGGAUUGCAAGAAACAAGUUAUGGGUUAUAGUGGGACUGUACAUAAAAGGUUUUGGUCAUGAUAAGAGACAUAUAGUUUUUUGUUAACUGGAUCCUCAAAUUCAAAAUUCUAGUCUGGAGAAUAACUCCCCUUGUGUGUUAACUAGCUAACAGCUGUAGGUGCAGACACACGAAGACUAGAUAGAUGUAGAAAUAAAUUUUGUUUAGGAUUGUACCUUGUAGAGAAUUGCAAAUGGGUUGAGGAGCUUGAUGUAGUUCUCAAACUUGGUGCGGCCUAGGGGUUUGGUGAGGAUAUCAGCAGG
rnacentral:lncRNA from 1 species